GGCUUCAAUUGCAAGAACUAUGGA
rnacentral:siRNA from 1 species